rnacentral:rRNA from 1 species
AUUCCUACGGGAGGCAGCAGUGAGGAAUAUUGGGCAAUGGGCGCAAGCCUGACCCAGCCAUGCCGCGUGCAGGAUGACGGCGCUAUGCGUUGUAAACUGCUUUUGUUUAGGAAGAAACCCAUCUACGUGUAGGUGGUUGACGGUACUGAAUGAAUAAGCAUCGGCUAACUCCGUGCCAGCAGCCGCGGUAAUACGGAGGAUGCAAGCGUUAUCCGGAUUCAUUGGGUUUAAAGGGUGCGUAGGCGGAGUACUAAGUCAGCGAUGAAAUCCUGCAGCUUAACUGUAGAACUGUCAUUGAUACUGGUAUUCUUGAAUGCAGUUGAGGUAGGCGGAAUGUGUAAUGUAGCGGCGAAAUGCUUAGAUAUUACACAGAACACCGAUUGCGAAGGCAGCUUACUAAACUGUGAUUGACGCUGAGGCACGAAAGCGUGGGGAGCAAACAGGAUUAGAUACCCUGGUAGUCCACGCCGUAAACUAUGAUUACUCGCUGUUGGCGAUACAUUGUCAGCGGCUGAGCGAAAGCAUUAAGUAAUCCACCUGGGGAGUACGAUCGCAAGGUUGAAACUCAAAGGAAUUGACGGGGGCCCGCACAAGCGGAGGAACAUGUGGUUUAAUUCGAUGAUACGCGAGGAACCUUACCUGGGCUUAAAUGUAGAGCGACAGACUGGGAAACUGGUCCUUCUUCGGACGAUCUACAAGGUGCUGCAUGGUUGUCGUCAGCUCGUGCCGUGAGGUGUCGGGUUAAGUCCCAUAACGAGCGCAACCCUUAUCGUUAGUUGCCAGCGGGUAAUGCCGGGGACUCUAGCGAAACUGCCGGUGUAAACCGUGAGGAAGGUGGGGAUGACGUCAAAUCAGCACGGCCCUUAUGUCCAGGGCGACACACGUGUUACAAUGGCCGGUACAGAGGGCAGCUACCUGGUAACAGGAUGCAAAUCUCCAAAACCGGUCUCAGUUCGGAUCGAAGUCUGCAACUCGACUUCGUGAAGCUGGAUUCGCUAGUAAUCGCGCAUCAGCCAUGGCGCGGUGAAUACGUUCCCGGGCCUUGUACACACCGCCAUCCAUAUG